UUUUACAGAAGUUGGUAUUGCAGCAACAAGUAAUCGUUUUAGUUUUGUGUUCUUUGCUGUCUGCUUGUCCUGACGCACCGAUUCACUGCAUUUUCCAGCAGAGAUCACAGGCUGGGAGGAUGACAGCUCGAAUGUAUUUCUCGUUGAUUGCUGUUUUUUUCUGUCUGUUUGGAUACUUCAGCAUAGCUCGCGCUAUUCAAAGACGAACCACAGUGGAUGGUUUCUGUCCGGAGAGGCUGAUGGUCGAACCAUCCCAUCGAGGCUGUUCCUCUGAUGAAGACUGCCCUGGAGGGCACAAAUGCUGUCGAUUUGAAUUUGGGCCUGUUUGCGUGCUGCCUGUUUUCAUGAAGCCAGGUCAAUGUCCCAUACCGGAGAUGAUCCCACUCUGUGCUGAUAGCUGUUU